rnacentral:tRNA from 1 species
GGCUUUGUAGUCAAUUAAUGAUUUUGGAUUGCAAUUCUAGAGUUGAAUAAUAUUUAUUCUAAAGCUU